GAGGGUAUAACUCCGUGGUAGAGUGCAUGCUUAGCAUGCACAAGGUCCUGGGUUCAAUCCCCAGUCCCUCCA
rnacentral:tRNA from 1 species